CCUUCCUUCCUGUCUUUCUCUCUCUCUCUUAAUCUCUUCCUUUCUUUGUUUCCCUUUCUCUCUCUUUCUUUUUUCUUUCUUCCUCCCUCCCACCCAUCCUUUCUUCCUUUCCUUCUUCCUCCCUCCCUCCAUCCCUCCUUAAGACCAGCCUGGCCAACGUGGUGAAACCCCAUCACUACUAAAAAUACAAAAAUUAGUCAGACAUGGGGGCGUGUCCCAGCUACUCUGGAGGCUGAGGCUGGAGAAUCUCUGGAACUUGAGAGAUGGAGGUUGCAGUGAGCUGAGAUCAUGCCACUGCACUCCAGCCUCGGCAAGAAGAGCGAAACUUUGUCUCAAAAGAGCAAGCAAGCAAUUACUGAUAACCUUACAGAUUGUCAGAGGGACACAAGGGACUCAGAAGGGGGACCACACUCAUUCUCUCACAUACAGAGAAGAGAGCAGUCUACCUACCCUAGACCACACAGCAACCAGCUGUCAGCAGCUGCAUAGCCCAAGCCUCUCCAUUAUGGCCCAGGGUUUCUGACCUUCCCUGGAGGGGCCCUUGGGCCUUCCCUUACCACCUCCCUUCCCUGCCUCACUUUAGCUCUUCUCUAUGCCCCUGUUUAUGGCCAAAGGCUGGGGAUCUUAUAAGUUUGAGGCAGCCUGAACCUCUGUCUGUGCUUUCACCCAGAGCCGGAGCACCAGGCUCCAAGCAUAUCAGCUGUGAUUCCCCACUGGUUCAGAACCACCUAAGGGCUGGCUGGUUGUGCAUAUGGAAGAGGGCAUGCUGUUCUUCCUCCAGGUUGACAACAUGAUAGAUUGAAAAAUACUUGGGAGGCUGGGUGCAGUGGCUCAGGCCUGUAAUUUCAGCACUUUGAGGCUGAGGCCAGUGGAUUACCUGAGGUAGGAGUUCAAAAUGAGCCUGGCCAACAUGGUGAAACCCCAUCUCCUAAACAUACAAAAAUUAGCUGGGCGUGCUGGCAUUUGCCUGUAACCCCAAUACUCAGGAGGCUGAGGUGGGAGAAUCACUCGAAUCCAGGAAGCAGAGGUUGCAGUAAGCUGAGAUCUCACCACUGCACUGCAGCUUGGGUGACAGAGUGAGACUUUGUCUCAAAAACAACAACAACAAAAGAAAAGAAAGGAAAAGUGCAUGGGCUCUGGAGGCGGAGAGAUGGAAUUGAAACCCAGCUUUUACUUCUCAGCUGUGUGCGCUUGGACAAGUUGGCUUCUCUGAGCUUCAGUUUUCUCAUCUGUGAAAUGGGAACAACAUUUGGCUUGCCGGGGGUCUUAGGAUGACUGGGGAGUGUCUGGCACAUAGUAGGUGCUCAACGUGUGUGCUUUCCCAUGGCCACCUAAGAGUCCUCAGGGCUGCCCUCCUGCCCUUCCCCCACAACUCCUGUGACUGACUCUUAAAUGGGUACUCGGGGUGAUAAGGAGGCACAGGUGAGAGAGCCAGGCUGGAUCCAUACCCACCCAUGCCCAUUGUUAGGAAAACAAGCUUUUAAUGCCUGGCCCUGCUGCUGGUGGCUGAGAGUAUAAAAUGGGACCCAGAGCCAGCCUCUCCCUUCUGCUAAGGCACACCAAGGCAAUAGUAUUUAAAAGGAAAGGAGGCAGUGGCAUGGAGGCUCCAGAGACUGAGCCAUUCCUAUGGCAAAAAGGGAGGCAGUGGGGUCCCCUGCUGAGGGCCAUCUGGCAGGUUUCCAUUCUACCUUCCUCAUGGGACCCACAGCCUCUUCAUCAGUUAUGUCUUCAGGUUCACUGUCCCCAAGUUGCUUAGGUGGGUCCAGACUUCAGGAGCUCUGCUAAGGCUGGUGGUCUCUAAAUUGCAUCCCUGCAGGGCCAGGGAGCUUCAGCUCUCAUGCCUCUGCCUAUAGAUCUGGUGCUCCGGACCACUGGAGGGUGGGUGAGAAGGAUACUGAAAGAGGAAAAUGAUUAAUGAGAAAGUGACUGUCUCCCACAAGGGCAAAUAAGCAAGGUCUUACCUGACUGUAUAAAUGAGCUUUUGUCAUAAAAUACCCCAAAAGUGAGUGGCUUAAAAUUAUAAGCAUUCGUUUGUUUAGUCUAUGGUAAUGUGGGUCAGUAACAUGGACUGGGCUCAGCCAGGUGGUUCUUCUUUCCUUGGCUGGGUUUUCUCAUGUGCCUACAGUUGUGUGUCUGAAGCUGGGAUGGCUUUGUUUCAUGUGGUUCCCAUUCUCCAAAAAGCUAGCUCAGACUUGUUCAUGUGGCUGCUUGGGAGGCUUCUAAGCAAUAGGCCAAAAGCCACAUUUUCUCUUGAGGCUCACAUCUGGCACAGGUUUACCUCCACUCUACUCUGUUGGUCAAAGGUGGUUUUGUGGCCAGCCCAGGUUCAAGUGGUGUCUGUUCAGUUGCUAUAACAGCAUCACAGACUGAGUAGCUUCAACAACAGAAAUGUAUUUUCCUCAUGAUUCUGGUGGCUGGAAGUUCCAGAUCAGGUAUCUGCAGGUUGUUUCCAUCUGAGGCCUCUGUGUGCAGUGGGCCACCUCCUCCCUGUGUCCUCUUACGGUUUUUCCUCUGUGUCCACCCUGGUGUCUCCCUGUGUGUCUACAUUUUCUCCUCUUAUCAGGACUCCAGACUGGGUGAGGACCCAGCCUAAUGACUUCAUUUUAACUUUAUUUUCUCUUUAAAGGCCCUAUUUCCAAAUGCAGUCACAUUCAGAGAAACUGGGGGUUGAGGCUUCAACAUACAAAUUUUGUGAGGACAAAAUUUAGCCCAUAACAAGGGGGGAGAAAAACACCAUCUCUUGAUCUUGAGGAGCUGCAGUAAGAUUGAAAAGAAGCAUGGACAGCGGGGGAAAUAACUGAGAUCAUGAUUGUGAAAAAGUCAACCACGCCGACUGAUCCUCCACACCUGGCCUGAUUUGGGCAAAGGCAACACACAUGGGCACCUACUCUCACCAGCUGUACCUUCUUCCUCCUUCCCCUGCAAGCCUUUUUCUGGAGUUUAUUGGUGAUCCCAAGUCUCCAGCCUGGAAGGGCUACCUGCUCGGGGUGCUGAUGUUCCUCUCGGCCUGCCUGCAGACGCUGUUUAAGCAGCAGAACACGUACCGGCUCAAGGUGCUUCAGAUAAGGCUGUAGUCUGCCAUCACUGGCCUGGUGUACAGAAAGGCUGGAAUUCAGUGGCGGGAUCUCAGCUCAUUGCAACCUCUGCCUCCCGGGUUCAAGAUAUUCUCUUGCCUCAGCCUCCUGACUUGCUGAGAUUACAGCUCCUGGGUCUCUCCACCAUAGCUGUCUUCCUGAGCCACCUGCCUUUCUGAGUUUCUUCAUCACCAAGAAGAGGAAUCACUGUCAGUUUCGGCUUUUGGGAAAAAGACGAACCAGGCAAGAACUAGGGAGGAAGACACAGGCCCUGGUGUGGGCGAUGGGAAGGGCAAAGCUGAAUGGGAGCCGGCGGGUCUAGCUUUGUUCUUGUCUCUCUGAGUUGCCCAUUGUGCAGACCUGCCCCGUUCCUUCCCCAUCACAUUGGACGGCGGCUCUUUCCUCCAUUGUUCGGACCCCAGGCCCUGGGUCAGAUCAAUGCCUUUUUCUUCUGCACCCCAUCAGUCAGCUGAUUUGCUUGGCGUCAUCUUGAAAAUGCAUCCAGCAGCAAGGCCCUGGCUCACUCCUUACUUCUGCCCCAGCCUCUCUCCACUUCCAGCCACAGGAGACCUGUGUGGGCUGAAUCCAUUGCACCCUCCUCUGCUCAGGCCCACAGCUGCCCCAUUUUCCUCAGUCUGAGCCAAAGGCCCCACAGUGGCCCACCUGGCCUGCCCUGAGCUGCCUCAUUGCCUCCAGCCUCACCUUCCACCCAUCUCCCUCCCUUUCCCACCUACCCCCCUUUCCCCAUCCUCACACCUGCCUGAUGUUCACACAUCUCUCUAGGCAUCUGCUUUAGCUGUUCCCUCCGCCUGGACCACCCUCACUCCAGAAGACUCUUGUAUGCUUCAGCACCCUCUGCAGUCAGGGCCACCUCCCUCACCAUCGUCUAGCAAGGACAUUGCCUGCCCAUCCCUCUUCUCCCAGCAGCUCCCUUCCUUGGCCUGUCCUGGGUUCAUUUUUGCUUUUCCCCAGCACUUCCCACUUCCUAAAGGGCCCUGCAGGCAGCGCCUGGCAGGGGCCAAUGGCCUUGCUCUCCUUAGACUGGUAGCUCCACAGCAGCACGGGCCACUCCCUGUGGCAGACUCAGUAUCUAGUUAGUGCUCGGCAUUCAGAAGGUGCUGGAC